rnacentral:misc_RNA from 1 species
AAGUCGUAACAAGGUUUCCGUAGGUGAACCUGCGGAAGGAUCAUUAACACUAACAUUUGUGCUGGCCGGCGGUCUGUGAGUUUACACUCGCCGAACGAUCGUGCCUCACAUCUACUAUCCACCCGUGGUUCUGUUCCGUACCUUUGCCGCAAGGUGAAGGCUUAUCCACUCGAUCGCUGAGAUUUCCUUCGGGGCCAGUGGCAACGAGCAGUCUCUGCUCGGAGCCGGAGCCGUAUGUUGAGUGGCCAUUUUCUAUCUUUUUAUCCUGCAUAGAAUACCUGCACUGAUUUCAUGCGUCCACGAAAGUGGUCGUAUGUUAUUGACGUCAAGUCAAUAAACCAAAUACAACUCGUAACAACGGAUAUCUCGGCUAAC